AUAUUUUGAACCGCAUGGUUCAAAAGUGAAAGACGGUCUUGCUGUCACUUAUAGAUGGAUCCGCGCUGCAUUAGCUAGUUGGUAAGGUAACGGCUUACCAAGGCAACGAUGCAUAGCCGACCUGAGAGGGUGAUCGGCCACACUGGAACUGAGACACGGUCCAGACUCCUACGGGAGGCAGCAGUAGGGAAUCUUCCGCAAUGGGCGAAAGCCUGACGGAGCAACGCCGCGUGAGUGAUGAAGGUCUUCGGAUCGUAAAACUCUGUUAUUAGGGAAGAACAUAUGUGUAAGUAACUGUGCACAUCUUGACGGUACCUAAUCAGAAAGCCACGGCUAACUACGUGCCAGCAGCCGCGGUAAUACGUAGGUGGCAAGCGUUAUCCGGAAUUAUUGGGCGUAAAGCGCGCGUAGGCGGUUUUUUAAGUCUGAUGUGAAAGCCCACGGCUCAACCGUGGAGGGUCAUUGGAAACUGGAAAACUUGAGUGCAGAAGAGGAAAGCGGAAUUCCAUGUGUAGCGGUGAAAUGCGCAGAGAUAUGGAGGAACACCAGUGGCGAAGGCGACUUUCUGGUCUGUAACUGACGCUGAUGUGCGAAAGCGUGGGGAUCAAACAGGAUUAGAUACCCUGGUAGUCCACGCCGUAAACGAUGAGUGCUAAGUGUUAGGGGGUUUCCGCCCCUUAGUGCUGCAGCUAACGCAUUAAGCACUCCGCCUGGGGAGUACGACCGCAAGGUUGAAACUCAAAGGAAUUGACGGGGACCCGCACAAGCGGUGGAGCAUGUGGUUUAAUUCGAAGCAACGCGAAGAACCUUACCAAAUCUUGACAUCCUUUGACAACUCUAGAGAUAGAGCUUUCCCCUUCGGGGGACAAAGUGACAGGUGGUGCAUGGUUGUCGUCAGCUCGUGUCGUGAGAUGUUGGGUUAAGUCCCGCAACGAGCGCAACCCUUAAGCUUAGUUGCCAUCAUUAAGUUGGGCACUCUAAGUUGACUGCCGGUGACAAACCGGAGGAAGGUGGGGAUGACGUCAAAUCAUCAUGCCCCUUAUGAUUUGGGCUACACACGUGCUACAAUGGACAAUACAAAGGGCAGCGAAACCGUGAGGUCAAGCAAAUCCCAUAAAGUUGUUCUCAGUUCGGAUUGUAGUCUGCAACUCGACUACAUGAAGCUGGAAUCGCUAGUAAUCGUAGAUCAUCAUGCUACGGUGAAUACGUUCCCGGGUCUUGUACACACCGCCCGUCACACCACGAGAGUUUGUAACACCCGAAGCCGGUGGAGUAACCUUUUAGGAGCUAGCCGUCGAAGGUGGGACAAAUGAUUGGGGUGAAGUCGUAACAAGGUAGCCGUAUCGGAAGGUGCGGCUGGAUCACCU
rnacentral:rRNA from 1 species